rnacentral:rRNA from 1 species
CGUAUCACCCAAGACAACUUUACGGAGUUGACGAUUGACGGAGCGAAGCGACGUCAAAGCGUUCAUUAAAGUCGAGUUGGCUUAGGGAUACGUUCGUUGGGUAGGGGAGCGUUCUGUAAGCCUGUGAAGGUGUGUCGUGAGGCAUGCUGGAGGUAUCAGAAGUGCGAAUGCUGACAUAAGUAACGAUAAAGCGGGUGAAAAGCCCGCUCGCCGGAAGACCAAGGGUUCCUGUCCAACGUUAAUCGGGGCAGGGUGAGUCGACCCCUAAGGCGAGGCCGAAAGGCGUAGUCGAUGGGAAACGGGUUAAUAUUCCCGUACUUGGUGUUACUGCGAAGGGGGGACGGAGAAGGCUAUGUUGGCCGGGCGACGGUUGUCCCGGUUUAAGCGUGUAGGUGUGUGUUCCAGGUAAAUCCGGUUCACUUUAACACUGAGGCGUGACGACGAGGCACUACGGUGCUGAAGCAACAAAUGCCCUGCUUCCAGGAAAAGCCUCUAAGCAUCAGGUAACACGAAAUCGUACCCCAAACCGACACAGGUGGUCAGGUAGAGAAUACCAAGGCGCUUGAGAGAACUCGGGUGAAGGAACUAGGCAAAAUGGUGCCGUAACUUCGGGAGAAGGCACGCUGACACGUAGGUGAAGUGAUUUACUCAUGGAGCUGAAGUCAGUCGAAGAUACCAGCUGGCUGCAACUGUUUAUUAAAAACACAGCACUGUGCAAACACGAAAGUGGACGUAUACGGUGUGACGCCUGCCCGGUGCCGGAAGGUUAAUUGAUGGGGUCAGCGCAAGCGAAGCUCCUGAUCGAAGCCCCGGUAAACGGCGGCCGUAACUAUAACGGUCCUAAGGUAGCGAAAUUCCUUGUCGGGUAAGUUCCGACCUGCACGAAUGGCGUAAUGAUGGCCAGGCUGUCUCCACCCGAGACUCAGUGAAAUUGAACUCGCUGUGAAGAUGCAGUGUACCCGCGGCAAGACGGAAAGACCCCGUGAACCUUUACUAUAGCUUGACACUGAACAUUGAGCCUUGAUGUGUAGGAUAGGUGGGAGGCUUUGAAGUGUGGACGCCAGUCUGCAUGGAGCCGACCUUGAAAUACCACCCUUUAAUGUUUGAUGUUCUAACGUGGACCCGUAAUCCGGGUUGCGGACAGUGUCUGGUGGGUAGUUUGACUGGGGCGGUCUCCUCCUAAAGAGUAACGGAGGAGCACGAAGGUUGGCUAAUCCUGGUCGGACAUCAGGAGGUUAGUGCAAUGGCAUAAGCCAGCUUGACUGCGAGCGUGACGGCGCGAGCAGGUGCGAAAGCAGGUCAUAGUGAUCCGGUGGUUCUGAAUGGAAGGGCCAUCGCUCAACGGAUAAAAGGUACUCCGGGGAUAACAGGCUGAUACCGCCCAAGAGUUCAUAUCGACGGCGGUGUUUGGCACCUCGAUGUCGGCUCAUCACAUCCUGGGGCUGAAGUAGGUCCCAAGGGUAUGGCUGUUCGCCAUUUAAAGUGGUACGCGAGCUGGGUUUAGAACGUCGUGAGACAGUUCGGUCCCUAUCUGCCGUGGGCGCUGGAGAACUGAGGGGGGCUGCUCCUAGUACGAGAGGACCGGAGUGGACGCAUCACUGGUGUUCGGGUUGUCAUGCCAAUGGCACUGCCCGGUAGCUAAAUGCGGAAGAGAUAAGUGCUGAAAGCAUCUAAGCACGAAACUUGCCCCGAGAUGAGUUCUCCCUGAGACUUAG